rnacentral:lncRNA from 1 species
GCGGGUGGAUCACCUGAGGCCAGGAGUUCGAGACCAGCCUGGCCAACGUGGUGAAAUCCCAUCUCUACUAAAAAUACAAAAAAUUAGCCGGGCGUGGUGGCACGAACCCGUAAUCCCAGCUGCUCAGGAGGCUGAGGCAGGAGAAUCGCUUGAACCUGAGAGGCAGAGGUUGCAGUGAGCCGAGAUCGUGCCACUGCACUCCAGCCUGGGUGACAGAGCAAGACUCUGCCUCAAAAAAAAAAAAAAAACAAACCACCAUCACCACCACCAAGGAAUCCAUCCAUGGAAACAUUUACUAUCCUCUGCCAAGAAAUAUAUUAAAUUGGAGGGAGGACUGUUGAGGGAUAAAUAAAUAAAUAGAAAUACAUUGGCCAGGCAUGGUGGCUCACACCUGUAAUUCCACCACCUUGGGAGGGAUUGCGCCACUGCACUCCUGCUUGGGUGACAGAGCAAGACUGCAUCUCAAAAAAAAAAAAAAAGAAAUAUAUAAAACUGACUCUAUUGGUAGGUUUUAAAAAAGUUAUUAAGCCAACUAGUGACCUUCCUUCGAUGACAUAUUCCCUUGAUGUACGUUUUCUUGUUAUUUUUUGAGACGGAGUCUUGCUCUGUUGCCCAGGCUGGAGUGCAGUGGCGCGAUCUCGGCUGACCGCAACCUCCGCCUCCCGGGUUCAAGAGAUUCUCCUGCCUCAGCCUCCCGAGUAGCUGGGACUACAGGAGCAUGCCAUCACACCCAGCUAAUUUUUUUGUAUUUUUAGUAGAGACGGGGUUUCACCAUAUUGGCCCAGGAUGGUCUUGAUCUCUUGACCUCGUGAUGUGCCUGCCUCUGCCUCCCAAAGUGCUGGGAUUACAGGCAUAAGCCACUAUUUCCAUUCCCUCAAUUUCAACUUCUCUGUGUCUUUGACACACAAUGUAUUACUAAACAUGUUUGUUUGUUUGUUUGUUUGUUUGUUUUCUGAGAUGGAGUCUUGCUCUGUCACGCAGGCUGGAGUGCAAUGGUGCCAUCUCAGCUCACUACAACCUCCACCUCCUGAGUUCAAGCAAUUCUCCUGCCUCAGCCUCCCAAGUAGCUGGGAUUACAGGUGCACGCCACCACUCCUGGCUAAUUUUCUGUACUUUUAGUAGAUAGGGGGGUCUCGCUAUGUUCACCAGGCUGGUCUUGAACUCCUGACCUCAAGUGAUCCACCCACCUCCGCCUCCCAAAGUGGGAUUACAGGCCAUGAGCCACUGUGCCCAGCCUUGUUUUGUUUUCUUGUGUUUUGAGACAAGCUCUUGCUCUGUCACCCAGGCUGCAGUGCAGUGCACAAUUAUAGCUCACUACAGCCUCAAACUCCUGUGCUCAAGGGAUCCUCCCACCUCAGCCUCCCAAGAAGCUGGAACUGCAGGCACAAGCUACCAUGCCCAGCUAAUUUUUAAAAAAAAUUUUGUAGAGACAGGAGUCUUGCUAUGUUGACCAGGCUGGUCUCAAACUCCUAUCCUCAAGCAAUCCUCCCACCUCAGCUUUCCAAAAUGUUGGGAUUACAGGUAUAAGCCACCAUGCCUGACUCUUUUUUUCCAAGAGACAGGGUCUCCAGCCUGACCAACAUGGAGAAACCCUGUCUCUACUAAAAAUACAAAAUUAGCCGGGCGUGGUGGCGCAUGCCUGUAAUCCCAGCUACUCGAGAGGCUGAGGCAGGAGAAUUGCUUGAACCUGGGAGGCAGAGGUUGCAGUGAGCCAAGAUCGCGCCAUUACACUCCAACCUGGGCAACAAGAGUGAAACUCCAUCUCAAACAAAAAAGAAAAAGAAAAAGAGACAGCAUCUCACUCUGUCGUCCAGGCUGGAGUGCAAUGAUGCAAUCGUGGCUCACGGUAACUUCGAACUCCUGGGCUCAAGCAAGCUUCCUCCCUCAGCCUUCUGAGUAGCUAGGACUAUAGGCACAUACCACUGUAUCCCUGGUGUGGUUUGUCUUUUAAAGUCUGAUCUGAGAGUUUGUCUUUAGUUUGGUAAAUUUAACUCAUCUACAGUGAUUCUAAUGCUGUUAUUAGACUUCACUGAAUUUAAUUCAGCCUCCUUAUUUCAGGUUUCUUUUUUUUCCCCCUUUUUCCACAUGUUCUAACAUGCUUUCUAAUUACCAUACUUCUUAUUUUUUCCCCCCUUCAUUUUUGCCUUCCAUUAAUUUUCCUUUUGCAGGUGUGGCAGUUUGCUAGUCGCCUCCUGCUAGCUAUUUUCCCCUCCUUCCUUAGUUUGAGAACCCCAGUUUUUAGCUGGACAUGAUGCAGUCCUGCUAUACAGUACAUCCCAGCCUUCCUGAAAGCCAGGUAUUGUCAUAUGAUUAGCCAAUGAGAUACAAAGGAGGUUUGAUGUAUGAUAUCUGAGAAAUGUCCUAAAAAGGAAGGGGUAGGUCAGCUGGGUUUAAUAUUGCCAUGGAGCUGCUACGUCAGCAAUGGAUUGACUGCCUACGUCAGAAAUUCUUUUCAGAAAGAUGUAAGCCUCCAUCUUGCUUAAUACGCUAAUUUGCAGAUUUUUCUUACCUGCCAGCAAGCCUUUCCUAACUGACGUAGUAUGUUUCAAAGUUAUACAUUCAAUUUUCCGUUUCUGUUAGUUGUUCCAUUAACUUAUUAGGAUCUCUAUUUUUAUUUUUCCCCAUAAAUUACAUAAACUUACAAUUGUUCACCUUUCUCAUCCUCAAGAAUAGUAGUUCUGGACAUUCUCAUCUCUCUCUGCUCUAUACUAAUUCCUCACCUAUGUUGGAAUUACCCAGAAUUUAUCUCUGGAAUAUUAUAGAUACUAGUUGCUUUCUUAAACCUUGAUUAUUAUUGUACCUUUUUUUUUUUUUUCUCCUGAGACAGAGUCUCACUGUAUCGCCCAAGCUGGAGUGCAGUGGCACGAUCUAGGCUCACUGCAAUCCCCACCACCAUUCUCAUGCCUCAGCCUCCCCAGUAGCUACGAUUACAGGCAUGUGCCACUGCACCGGGCUAAUUUUCUUCUAUUUUUUAAGAGAUGGGGUUUCAGCAUGUUGGCCAGCCACCGCACCUGGCCUAUUAUUGAUUUUUUUUGGCCGGGCGCCGUGGCUUAUGCCUGUAAUCCCAGCAUUUUGGGAGGCCGAGGCAGGCGGAUCACUUGAGGCUAGAAGUUCGAGACCAGCCUGGCCAACAUGGUGAAACCCCGUCUCUACUAAAAAUACAAAAAUUGGCUGUGCAUGGGUGGCAUGCACCUGUAAUCCCAGCUACUCAGGAGGCUGAGGCACAGAAUUGCUUGAACCCAGGAGGCAGAGGUUACAGUGAACCGAGAUCAUGCCACUGGACUCCAGCCUGGGCUACAGAUCAAGACUCCGUCUAUUAAAAAAACAAAAAAACAAAACCCCUGAGUGUAUAAAAUCAAGAAAUUUGCACCAAGUGAUACAUCCAUGUAACCACUACCCUGACCAAGAAACAGGACACCCCCAGACCCCUAGGUGUCCUUCUCACGAUUCAGUCGCAAUUCUUCCCAACACUAACCAGUUCUGACCAUGAAUCCCCAAGGUUAAUUUUGCCUGUUAUAAAGUUUUAAGUCAACAGAAUCAUUAUGCCCUGCUCUGUGUCUACCUUCUCUCAUUCAUCAUUUUUCAUUAGACUCAUCACUGUUGUGCAAAGCUGGACAGAAUUUCCUUGUGUGCUUACACUUACUGCAGUUUAUCCAUUUACUUUUGAUGGACAUUUGGGUUAGCUCCAGUUUGUAACUAUGACAAGCAGUGCUAGCACAAACAUCCUGAAAUAUGUAUUUAAGAGAACAUGGGAUAUAUUUCUAUUGGUUAUAUGCCUAACAACAGGAUUGUUGAGUAGCAGAAUGUGCAUAUAAUUCUACAUUUUUGCCUCUUUUUUUUACUAGUGUUGCCUGACUUGUUUGUAUUGACUAGUAGGAAUUUCUUUGCAACUCUAGAUAUACGACCAGCUGUGGUGGCUCAUGCCUCAACUAUCACUUUUAAGUCAUAUAAAACCCCAUGCCUUAGCCUUCCUCUUAUCCAUCAAGGCCUCUAACUACAUGUGGAGAAAAUAAAAGCGUGACAAAAACAAAGCAACCUCCUGGUAGAGCAGCAACCUUAGACUUGAUCCCUCAUAUCCCUUCCUCCUUUUCUCAUUCUCCACGAGCAGAGGCUCGCCACCUUGCUGAGAUAUCCUGACAGGCUUCCCUUAGAUGCUGCCCUGCUACCAAAAGCCACGGUCUUCAUCCAGAAGCAUGAACUCUGGAUAUACAAAAUAGGCAUUGUUCAUCUGAAUCAGAACAAUUUUUCUUAGUACAAGUACUGCCUUAGGAAAGACUGUCUCUUUUGCACAUGUGAGCCUACAACAAGGGAGAAAAAAUUCACUUACUUUGACUGCAAGGUCUGCCUGGGCCAUGUGCCAUCUUCAUUUUGAGGCUCAAUUACUAGCACCUGAGUGAAAGGGGAAACCAAAUGAGGAGAGUUCAAACCACCGCACUUCCAACAUGCUUAGAAGCAAAAAGUAUCUGGCCACACACCCUGGGCAGAGCUACCUGCUGGGGAAUGGCCAGGGCCCUCCUACCUGACCCUGGUAUAGCCCAGCAUCCUGGACAGUGUUGUCUAGCUUGCUCAACUGCUCGUAGGUGUUGCUCAUGUAUUUGUUCCAGAGCCGUGUUUCACGCUCCGCAGGGAUGUUGAAUAGCUUCCGCAUCUCUUUCUCGAUGGUUGCUAGGAACAGGCAGAAAUAUCACUUGGGGCUUUGUCCACAUGCAAGGCUAAAGACAGCCAUGGCAAACUAAUGCUCAUCCUCUUUCUUGUCAGAUGCUCACAGGUGCUCUGGAUCAACCCCCUGAUACCUCUUAAAAUCAAUCAUCUCCCAUGGGUGGCCUCUUGCACUCAUAUGCCUGGAAAGUAUCCCUAUGCUUCUUUGCUAACGUGUGUCUCUCAUUUAUGGCGCAAAAGCAACAUAGAAAGCGAGAAAGCUUAUCUUUGGAGUUAACUCAGAUAUGGCUUCAAAAGCUAGCUCCACCAUUUUCUGGCUGCGAUUUGUUUUUUUUUUUAAGAGACAGGAUCUUGCUCUGAUGCCCAGGCUGCAGUGCAGUGGUGGGAUCGUAGCUCACUGUAAACCUUGCUGAGAUUUUUAAAUAAGUUAUUUUUAAACUUCUUUGGAUCUACAUUUCCUUAUCUUCAUUAUCAUAGACAAAUGGGCAAGGAGCAGGCCCAGUGUUCUCUCCAUAAGAAUUCCUGGAGGAAUAGGCCCCCAGGUCAGGACUGGCAACUACAGCUCGAGAUGAUUUGGGUAACAAAUCUAAAGAGGGCAUAUAAAAUAAUGCCCUCUUCCCUCCCAUCAGCCACAAUGUCCUACACUCUCUCACCACAUACCAGGGACCCCAGCCCAGCCUCUCACCAAUGGUGUCUGCCUUGCUGAAAUGGCAACUCAGCACAUUGGUGGGGUCACUGUUCUCACAGAGCUUCAGUUCCAGCAAAUACACCUCGACUUUGCAGUGCUUGACAAACAGGCCAUGCUCCACAACCUAUGAACAAGAGGCAGGGGUGAGGGCAUAGCGGUUUUGCAGCUGGGCAGUCUUGGAUGUAGCAUAUCUUAUCAGAAGCAAAAAGCAGAAAACUCAUGAUAAUCCAUUUCCUUUACUGAUCAAGGGAUCAAAAGAACAGAUUUUUAAAGCUACCAGUACCUGGACAAAGAGUUUAAAAAUAUUUUUUCUGGCCGCGUGUGGUGGCUCACGCUUGUAAUCUCAACACUCUGGGAGGCCGAGGUGGGUGGAUCACUUGAGGUCAGGAAUUUGAGACCAGCCUGACCAACAUGGUGAAACCCCAUUUCUAUGAAAAAUACAAAAAUUAGCCGGGCAUGGUGGCAUGUGCCUGUAAUCCCAACUACUCAGGAGGCUGAGACAGGGGAAUCGCUUGAACCCAGGAGGUGGAGGCUGCAGUGAGCCAAGAUCGCUCCACUGCACUCCAGCCUGGGCGACAGAGCGAGACUCUGUACCCCGCAAAAAAAUAUAUAUAUAUUUUUUUUCUACCCACUAAGACCAAGAGCAUCUUGAUGAUAUUAGAGAGAAGCCUAUUCUUCACUGUUUUUUGUUUUUGAGAUGGAGUCUUCCUCCGUCAGCAGCCUGGAGUGCAGUGGUGCGAUCUCAGCUCAUUACAACCUGCACCUCCUGGGUUCAAGAGAUUCUCCUGCCUCAGCCUCCCGAGUAGCUGGGACUACAGGGGCCCACCAUCAUGCCCAGCUAAUUUUUGUAUUUUUAGUAGAGACAGGAUUUCACCAUGUUGGCCAGGAUGGUCUCGAUCUCUUAACCUCGUGAUCCGCCUGCCUCAGCCUCCCAAAGUGCUGGGAUUACAGGCGUGAGCCACCAUGCACGGCCUGAUCAAAGACUCUUUUUUUUUUUUUGCAACCGAGUCUCACUCUGUUGCCAGGCUGCAGUACAGUGGGGUGAUCUCGGCUUACUGCAACCUCCGUCUCCUGGGUUCAAGCAAUUCUCCUGCCUCAGCCUCCCGAGUAGCUGGGACUACAGGUAUGUGCCACCACACCCAGUUAAUUUUUGGAUUUUUAGCAGAGACGAGGUUUCACCAUGUUGGCCAGGGUGGUCUUGAUCUCCUGACCUCGUGAUCCACCCGCCUCAACCUCCCAAAGUGCUGGGAUUACAGAUGUGAGCCACUGCGCCUAGCUCAAAGACUCUUAAGCAUAGAGGGAAAAGCAGUAUCAUAAAGGUUUUUUAAGAUAAACAAGAUGCAGGACAUUAGCUAUAUGUCCAUAUGCCCCCAGUGAACUUUCUCUCAUAGAAUUUUCCAGAAAGUUCUCUCACAGCGCUGCUGGGCACAUUCCAAGCCACUGGGCAGCUCUGAUGUUUAGAGGCCACUCAUGAUAAUAUUCUGGGUGAGCAACUUCACUCACAACCACAAUUUCCUAAAGAGAACCAGAAACAGGCUGGGCGUAGUGGCUCACGCCUGUAAUCCCACCACUUUGGGGGGCCGAGUCGGGCGGAUCACAAGGUCAAGAGUUUGAGACCAGACUGGCCAACAUGGCGAAACCCCGUCUCUACUAAAAAUACAAAAAUUGGCCAGGCGUAGUGAAAGGCGCCUGUAAUCCCAGCUACUCAGGAGGCUGAGGCACGAGAAUCACUUGAACCUGGGAGCCAGAGGCUGCAGUGAGCCGAGAUCGUGCCGUUGCACUCCAGCCUGGGCGACAAGUGCACAAGACUCCAUCUCAAAAAAAAAAGAGAUCCAGAAACAAGGCCUCAAGCACCACUAUUCAACCACUGAGGUAUGUUCAUUUUCCUAGCAAACACUAGUCAGUGUCCAACAGAAAGCACCUGCAGACAGUGACCAGCAGGUGGGACAAUUCACAUAACUCACUUUUCUGACGAUGGGUUGCUGGCCUUCUACACAGCCGUACCAGUUUAGUAGUUUAUUCCACGCCUCGGUAGGGACCAAUACAUAGUCCAAUUCAUCAAUUAAGUGUUCUUUCAAGGUCUGACUCUCAGGAUCUAAAAAAGGAAAAGAGCACAUAAGUCACUGCUCUUUACCCCAGAAAUGAUGGUUUUACAUGAUUUCCAUGUACUUUUCAGAAAUAAGAAAAUUAUUUACAGAAAGAAACAGGAAUGAAAUUCCAAAAUUCUGUCACUGGUCAUUAUACAGAGCAGACUUUUGUCUUUAUCCAUGUUUUCUCUUUAUCCAUGAAGAUUUUAUGAGGAAUUUGUAUUUCUUCUAUAAUUGGAGGGAGAGAAGAGGAUAAAAAAGAAAAACUCCAGGCUGGGUGUGGUGGCUCACACCUGUAAUCAGCACUUUCGGAGGCUGAGGCGGUUGGAUCAUGAGGUCAGGAGUUUGAGAGCAGCCUGGCCAACAUGGUGAAACCCCGUCUCUACUAAAAAUAUAAAAAUUAGCCGGGUGUGGUAGCGGGCACCUGUAGUCCCAGCUACUCGGGAGGCUGAGGCAGGAGAAUUGCUUGAACCCGGGAGGCAGAGGUUGCAGUAAGCCAAGAUCACGCCACUGCACUCCAGCCUGGUGAAAGAGCAAGACUCCAUCUCAAAAAUAAAUAAAUCAUACAUGAGGUGGUUAUGGUUUCCCACCAUCCCUCCGACUAGUUUACACACCUUUUUCAGGGCAGGGUUCCUUUGUUGUCAUUUCAACAAUGCUCAUAACAUCUUCACCAGACAUAGAUUCCAUCUCAAGAAACCAUUUUCUUUGCUCACCCAUAAGAAGCAACUCCUCAGCCAUUCAAGUUUUAUCAUAAGAUUAAAGCAAUUCAGGCCGGGCAUGUUGGCUCAUGCCUGUAAUUCCAGCACUUUGGGAGGCUGAGGCAGGCAGAUCACUUGAGGUCAGGAAUUCAAGAUCAGCCUGGCCAACAUGGUGAAACCCCAUUUCUAGUAAAAAUACAAAAAUUAGCUGGGCAUGGUGAUGCAUGCCUGUAGUCCCAGCUACUCGGGAGGCUGAGGCAUAAGAAUUGCUUGAACCCAGGAGGUGGAGACUGCAGUGAGCCGAGAUACCCCACUGUACUCCAGCCUGGGUGACAGAGCAAGACUCUGUCUCAAAAGAAAUAAAAAUAAAUAAAAAUUAAAAUUAAAAAUAGGCCAGGCGCAGUGGCUCACACCUGUAAUCCCAGCACUUUCGGAGGCCGAGGUGGGCAGAUCAUGAGGUCAGGAGUUCAAGACCAGCCUGGCCAGGGUAGUGAAACCCCGUCUCUACUACAAACACAAAAAUUAGCUGGGCAUGGUGGUGCACACCUGUAGCCCAGCUACUUGGGAGGCUGAGGCAGGAGAAUUGUUUGAACCCAGGAGGCGGAGGUUGCAGUGAGCCAAGAUUGCGCCACUGCACUCCAGCCUGGGUGACACAGCGAAACUCCAUCUCAAAAAAAAUAAAAAUAAAAGUAAAAAUAAAAAAUAAAGCAAUUCAGUCACAUCUUCAGGCUUCACUUCUAAUUCUAGUUCUCUUGCUAUUUCCACUUUUGCUGUUACUUCUCCCACUGAUGUCUUGAGCCCGUUGAAGUCAUCCGUAAGUGUUGGAAUGAACUUCUUCCAGACUCCUAUUAAUGUUGAUUUUGACCUCCCAUGAAUCAUGAAUAUUUUUGUGUGUGUGUGUGGGCAGGUGGGAGUGGCAGGCCUUACUCUAUCACCCAGGCUGAAGUGCAGUGGCAUGAUUACAGCUCACUGCAGCUUCGACCUCCCAGACUCAAGCAAUCCUCCUGCCUUAGUCUCCCAAGUAGCUAGAACUACAGGUGCAUGCCACCAGGCCUAGCUAAUUUUCGUAUUUUUUAUAGGGAUGGGGUUUUGCCAAGUUGCCCACCCUAGUCUCCAAUUCCUGGGUUCAAAGGAUCCACCUACUUCAGCCUGCCAAAGUCCUGGGAUUAUAGGUAUAAGCCACUGCACCAGGUGGAAUCAUGAAUAUUCUUAAUGGCAUCUAGAAUGGUAAAUCCUUUCCAAAAGGUUUUCAAUUUAAUUUGCCCAGAUCCUUCAGGAGAAUCACUAUCUAUGGCAGAUAAAGUCUUAUAAAAUGUAUUUCUUAAAUAAUAAGACUUGAAAGUUGAAAUCAAAUCAGGCACGCUGGCUCAGGCCUGUAAUCCCAGCACUUCGGCAGGCUGAGGCGGGAGGAUCACUUGAGGUCAGAAGUUUGAGACCAGCCUGGCCAACAUGGUGAAACCUGGUCUCUACUAAAAAUACAAAAAUUAGCCAGGUGGAGGGACGGGCACCUGUAUCCCAGCUACUCAGGAGGCUGAGGCAGGAGAAUUACUUGAACCUGGUAGGAGGAGGCAGGAGAAUUGCUUGAACCUGGGAGGGAGAGGUUGCAGGGAGCCAAGACUGAGCCACUGCACUCCAGCCUGGGCAACAGAGUGAGACUCUGUCUCAAAACAAACAAACAAACAAACAAACAAACAAAAAAAGUUGAAAUUACUUCUUGACUCACAGGCUGCAGAACGGAUGUUUUUAGUAGGCAUGAAACAACAUUAAUCUCCUCAUGCAUCUCCAUCAGAGCUCUUGGGUAACUAGGUACAUUGCAAUGGAGCAGUAACUUUUUUUUUUUUGAGACAGUCUCGCUGUGUCCCCCAGGCUGGAGUGCAGUGGCGCCAUCUCGGCUCACUGCAAGCUCCACCUCUC